rnacentral:rRNA from 1 species
UGCGUAGGGCGCAAGCGUUGUCCGGAAUUAUUGGGCGUAAAGGGCUCGUAGGCGGUCUGUCGCGUCGGGAGUGAAAACUCAGGGCUUAACCCUGAGCCUGCUUCCGAUACGGGCAGACUAGAGGUAUGCAGGGGAGAACGGAAUUCCUGGUGUAGCGGUGAAAUGCGCAGAUAUCAGGAGGAACACCGGUGGCGAAGGCGGUUCUCUGGGCAUUACCUGACGCUGAGGAGCGAAAGUGUGGGGAGCGAACAGG